ensembl:lncRNA
UGCUAGCUGCGAUGGGGCCUGAGGUCUCCUUUGGCACAGAUGUUCCCUCUGAAGUGGCUUGUGGCACUGUUUUCCCUGAGCCUCCUCUCCAAAUGGUGAUUCAGGGGCCAUCUUUGACCCAUGAGACCCAAGGCAACCAUGCUGGCCUGCGAGGACAAGCUCACAGAAACGGAAAGAGCCUGGAGGGUCACAGGGAGAGCAGAGUCAGCUCGUGGAGGACAAACUUGGAGGAUUCCUGAGUCACACAGAGCUGGAGUCCUGUUGAAAUUCCUUGAAGCUGACAAGAUCUGAUGCUGUGCAAGCUAUUAAAUCCACUUCAUCACAUAAUAAUCAGAAGUUAAUUAAAAAAAAAAGAUAAUUCUGCUGGGGAUUUAGCUCAGUGGUUCCACCGCCUGCCUUGCAAGCGAAAGGACCCGAGUUCGAUCCCCGGUACCAAAAAAAAAGAAGUAAAUUUUCUUACAACCAAAAGCAUUCUGAUUGAUAAACUUAUAAAAUGGAAAGGAAAUGAAGAGAGAAAAGAUAGAAGCUGGAUCUCCAAGUUCUGUUUCCUGCCAUUGCUAAUUUUUCUGUGAUGUGUUUUGAAUACCCAAGCAUUACAUCAGAGCACCUCCAACUUGAGCAAAAUGCCACAUGGCAUUCCUGAGUGAACAUUUUGAAAGAGUUGUGUGGCAUCCAGUGAGGCAUUUGGAAGUCACCUGGUAAGUAUGUAGGGACUGUUGGACAAGAAUCUCAUUUGCACAAUCAGAAGCCCUUGGCUCAGCACACAGACACCUCAUAUACCUGUGGUUGCAAAUGUAAGCCAUUGAAGUCCCCAGCCUGACUCACCCUCUCAGAAUAUGGAGAGUAGCAUAGGGGUGACAACCUCAGCAACCUCAUCUCGAAAAGGGUUUGAAGUAAUUUAAAGAAUACUUAGGGUAGGAUAAAAAAUGGAGAAGAGAAUUGGGCCAAAGAAACACAAGAGUGACUUAAUAAUCAGCUGAGCUGGAGUCAAAGAGGUAUAUGGAAGUGCAUGCCACCCAGCUGGGCAUUGUUGGCCCAGGGGCCUGGGCUUCACAUUGGGCUCUGAGCUUCCCACAGCCUCACUGAACAGGAAAACUAGCUGUGACUCAGGAGGAGUUCAAAUUUCUGAGCUGAAAGAAACUGCUCUCCUAGAUCCCUUUUGAGGGCCAAGACUCUCAAGAAUGUUCCCCUAAUAAGUGUAGUGUGCAUAUGAGGACAGGAGUGACUGGGGUCAUAGAGAAAGCAUGUAGGCAGCACUUGGUGUCCAGCUGUGGGACAUUGUGUUUUGCACACCAUUCUGUAAGGUCAUGUGAUCUUUUUUUUUUUAUUACCAAUGCUGGUCCUCCCUUGUGUGGGGGGCCUAAUGUGGACAAUUGCAUUGAUCUGGUUUUGGAGUUUUGCAUUUUGCAGAAUGUUUACUAGCUAGAGGCAAAGCAGAUGAAAGAGCAAGCGUAGGGGGUGGGAUGACAGAAGUAAUAAGCCUUAGAGGGGAUGAGGGCCCUAGGAGAACAGGUGAGAUAUGGGCCUGGAGGCAUCAGUCACCACAGUGGGCUGAAGUUUACUUGCUUAGCACAGUGCCCAAUAGGUGGAUUGAGUCAGUGUGUGGUAGUGAAGACUGCAGAAGCAGCCAACCACGAAAGUACAGGAACAGCUAUAGCUGAUCUAUGCUGUCAGAAGUCAGCACAGUGGUACUGGGAACGGGUACUGGGCACAUCUAGUGUGCUGCUCACAUUGCAUCUUGAGCUGAUACUGGCUGUACAGGUGUAUUCAGUUUGGGACGAUGUGUCUGUUAGUACACUUGUAUGUGCUUUUGUCUGAGUGUGUUCAGUGAAAUGUUUGAAAGAAAGUAUGUACUUCAGUGCCAGGCCACUUGUUUUCACACCCCAGUUCUGCCACUUUAUAGCAAUGGGACAUUGGGCAAAUUAUGUAACCUCGUUGUGCCUCAGAUUUCCAUUCAGUCAAACAAGAAUAAUAAUGCUUAGCUGGGUGCAGUGGUGCACUCUAUAAUCCCAGCUUCUCAAGUUUGAGGCCAGCCUGGACAACUUAGCAAGACCCUGUCUCAAAAUAAAAAAUAAUAUAUGAAUAUAAGUAUCAUGCAUUAACCAAUUGUAGCACUGGAGCUCCUAUAUAUAAAUAAAAAGGGCUGGGGAAGUAACUCAGUGGUAGAACAUUUGCCUGGCAUGUGCAAACCCCUGAGUUUAAUCCCCAGUACCUAAAUAAAUAAAGAAAAGGCUAGGAUGCAAUUCAGCAGCGCCACACCUGCCUAGCAAGCACAAGGUCCUGAGUUUGGUCUCUGGUACCAGGGAAAAAAAAGAACAAAAGAAAAUAACAUGUAUCAAAGAAGUACCUGAGGAUUGAAUGAGUCAGUACUUGCCAAGUACAUGAGUGUCUCUAGUAAAUAGUAAACAUUCCCUGAGAAUUACCUGUUACUUGUUACUUCUGUUAAUUAUUAUUAUUAUAAAUGAGAAUUGUAUGAGGGAAAACUGAAGAAUUGCUUGUGGACAUUCUACAAAAUGAUAUUCUGAGUGUGGCCAUGCAGUUGUGUCUGGAGUGGAAUGGGAUUGGAUUGCAUGUCUUAGAGUUCAAGCAGGGGAACUGGGAGGGAGUGGUGUUGCCAUAUUGGCCUUAGUGUUGUCCACGUGAUGGCAGGGGAGGACUUGGGGUGGUGAAGACUGAACUUGAGGGACUGAGAUUCUUGUUGUUCUUUGCUUUUUGAGACAGGGUCUCACUAUGUAGUUCAGGCUGGCCUUGAACUCAUUGUGUAGCCCAGGGUGGCAGGGAACUCAGGGUGAUCUUCCUACCUCAGCUUCCAGAGUGCUGGGAUUACAGGCAUGCACCCCACCCCAGGCACUGAGAUUCUUUUUUCAAAAUUUAUAUAUUAAUUGAUACAUUUUAGGUGUACAGUACAUUUACACUUAUCAUUGCGUGUUUGUACCUGAACAUGAUGUAUCUUAGUUCUUAUUUUUCCCCCAUUACCUAUGUGCCUUUCACCCCCACCACCCUUCCCUAUUUACAUAGACUUUGUUUCCAUUUUUUUUUCUUUCUCAUAAUUUUUCCUUUCCCUUCUUCCCUUUCCCCUUCUCCUCCUGCCACCCCUACACCUUUGGACCUUUUCCUACGUCAAAUUAUCAAUUAUUCAUUUUAAUAAUUUUCAUCCUUAUUUACACUUUCAGUUUCUCACACUAGAGAAACUAUUCGGUAUUUACACAUGUGUGUCCUAUUUAUUUUACUUAAGAGUAUGGCCUCAAUAUGCAUCCAUUUAGCUAUAAAUGACUCUAGUUUCUCGUUCUUUAUGGCUGAGUAGUACUCCAUUUUAUAAAAAACCCACAUCUUCUUUAUCAGUUUUCCAGUUGAUGGGCACUUGGGCUGUUUCCAAACCUUAGCUAUUACAAACUGUGCCGCUAUAAACAUAGGUGCACAUAUAUCGCUGUGGUAUGAUUCUUUUAAUUCUUUGGGGAAGAUACCCAGUAGGGGAAUAGCUGGGUCAAAUGGGACCUCUAGUCCUAGUUCUUUAAGGUAUUUCCAUACGGAUUUCCACAGUGGUUGCACCAGUCUGCACUCCCAC